GCCUACGGGGCGCAGCAGUAGGGAAUCUUCCACAAUGGGCGAAAGCCUGAUGGAGCAACGCCGCGUGGGUGAAGAAGGUCUUCGGAUCGUAAAACCCUGUUGUUAGAGAAGAAAGUGCGUGAGAGUAACUGUUCACGUUUCGACGGUAUCUAACCAGAAAGCCACGGCUAACUACGUGCCAGCAGCCGCGGUAAUACGUAGGUGGCAAGCGUUAUCCGGAUUUAUUGGGCGUAAAGGGAACGCAUGCGGUCUUUUAAGUCUAAUGUGAAAGCCUUCGGCUUAACCGGAGUAGUGCAUUGGAAACU
rnacentral:rRNA from 1 species